rnacentral:rRNA from 1 species
UGAGGAAUAUUGGGCAAUGCCCGAAAGGGUGACCCAGCAACGCCGCGUGGAGGAUGAAGGUCGUAAGAUUGUAAACUCCUGUUAGAGGGGAAGAAUAACUAAGUUUGGAGCUUAGUAUGACUGUACCCUCAGAGAAAGCCCCGGCUAACUACGUGCCAGCAGCCGCGGUAAUACGUAGGGGGCAAGCGUUGUCCGGAUUUACUGGGUGUAAAGGGCGCGCAGGCGGAAUGGAAAGUCAGUGGUGAAAUCCUACAGCUUAACUGUAGAACUGCCUUUGAUACUUUCAUUCUUGAGUUCGGGAGAGAGAGACGGAAUUCCAGGUGUAGUGGUGAAAUACGUAGAUAUCUGGAAGAACACCAGUUGCGAAGGCGGUCUCUUGGUCCGAUACUGACGCUGAGGCGCGAAAGCGUGGGGAGCAA